CUGAAUGAGACAGUUUGAACCGGUCUGAUCCUGCUUCAUCUUGGGCAGACUAGCACCACCAACGGUCCUGAACAGGACAAACAAGUGAAGCCAACUUCAUAUGAGAAUGGCAGAUGUUAGUUGGUGCCAGAAUUGGCAAGUCAUUCCAAACCGCAAUCGGGCCAGAAGAAUGUGGUGCAUGUGGGCCAGUUGGUGUUCAAAGUUUAGGAGGUCUUGUGUGCUUUGUGCCACAUUCAGCUCUACAGUGGUCUCCUCAUCCCUUUGUCUCCCCUGGCUUCUGCGCAAAAGUAGUAGCAUCUCCCGUUGAUUUGCCUCUAGGGUCUCAACUUUUUGAAGGAGAACCUGAAGUGUAUCUGAAAUUAAGAAGCCACAUAACUUAAGCGAGUCUUGAUCUAUAGUCAUGGACUCAGAAAUUUUGGGCAGUUCAUCAUUGUCUGCAAGCAAGACAUUAACAUACACAGCACGUAGAUAUACAGUAUAUCCAGUGUGUAAUUUCUGGUAAGUUGCUGCCUACCUUCACUGCUGUCAUAAUAUUUCAGGGGUCUUUUUGUUGGCCUUUUUGAUGGUACAGUUUCUUCUUCGGUAUCAAAAGUGGAUUUGUGCUCUGCUGUUCUGCUCCAUUUGAGGGCUCUUUCAAAGUUACCUGAAUGUCAAAUGGUAACAAUAAUUAGACACUCAUAAGAAUGUUAUGACCACCUCCACCUCGCUAUCUAUUUUGUCAGCUCCACUGAUCAUACAAGCCACUGUGUAAUUAUAUAGUAAAAAAGUGUAAUUGUAUAAUAAUUCUCUCUGUAUACAUCUGUUUGAAAGGUUUUAUCAGUCAUUUUGAAUCUAAUAAAUUACAGUAAUAUGUAAUGUAAAAUUGAAUAUCCACUGCAGUCAACAUUUUAUUAAAAAGUCUUUAUUGUACAACUGCUCAUUGCAGCUUCUGUCAGGAUCAAGGAAAUAAAGUUUUUAUUUCCAUCUUCUAAUAAAAGCUUUUUAUUUACUGAAGAAUGCCAUAGAUAUUCAAACAUUUGAACAGCAAACAUUUGUACAGUAAAUUGACCAAAUAAUGUGUAUUCUCUCACUUCUUAUACAGUGUGUGCAUGAUUGGAAGCUCAGCUUUACAUGUGGUGGCAAAGACUCUGAUUUUUCUGGAAAUCCAGUUGUCUUCAUCAGGAGUCUCCUCCUUUUUUGCUCUUUUGGUUGGGUUAUUUGGCGGCCAGUAACUGUACUGUUGCUGAAAUACAUGCAGCAUGCACACAGCUACAGUAAUUGUAUUUCUGUGAUAUUAAUAACAAUAAACAAUAUAACAGUUGUUAUAAUGAUUACAAAUAUUUGUCAUACCCCAUUUUCUUCAUAGGUCCAGCACUGAGCCACAAUGCCAACCAGAUUUUCCUCAGUAAAUUCCACAAUGUAGUACAUUCUGUAGAAAAGACAGUACGUGUUCAUUUUAAUACAACUUUAAGAGAUAAUCAGAGACAUUUUGCAAUGCAUAGCAGUACACUCACAUGGCAAAAAUAAUGUAUAUCCUAUUCAAAAUGUUUUUUCUUUUAAUUGUCAAAUACUUUUUAGGUGUGUAUGAUGCCUGUUCUGACAUUCACUAUCCCUUCACCAGCAUUUAUUAUCUGACUGCAGGACUGCUAUUGUCAGAUAAUGGAACCAUAGAAGUCAAAAUAGGCAUAAUAUUCAGGCAUGAUCUUCUAAUUGAAUAUACCAAAUAAUAAAAGUGACAUGGUGUCUUGGUAUCUAAUAUCCAUUUUAACCCUUUAAUCCUAAGGCUUAAAAAGUUCCUUGAUUUAAUUAAAAUUACUUACAUAUUCUUUAAAUGUUGAAUUGGUGCCUUAUCUCCAUCUAAUCUUAAUGGCAUAUUUUGUUUACACUUGAUGCAAUAUGCCCAUAAAUAUAGAUUUGUCUUCUAUGUGAAGCCUGAUGGCUCUCUUCUCAAUUUUAUCACAGGUGAUCCAUUUCAUUGUAGUGGUAUUUUCUUUGAAGCUGAAAGCCCCAAUGAGAAACGAGGUGCAUGGCUCCAUGAAGAGGGGUGCAGGAUGAUGGUACACUCGACAAAGGACCUUUCCAUCUUUCUCCAUCUCAUCUAUAACUUCGCAACAUUCCUCACCUUCAAGCAAGUAUGCUCUGUCCUUAAUGCUUCUUGUUUUUUUCGCUACAAGGUCAUGGAGUGGUGCUGACUUUCUUUCCUCAAUACGGUUGGCAAUCUGUGUGAGGGGGUGUGUUCCGCUAUGUACCAUUCUCUUCAAGGUAUGCAGGUAUGUUUCAAAUUUGAAAGCACUGCAGUUGUCCAGCCCAUUGAAUAACACAGCAUCUUCCGUAAUAUGAAGCAAAGAGUGAGUGUUGUACACCAGAAAUUCUCUUCCAUAAAGCUCCCUCCCUCUGCUGACAAAGUACUGAAGGAGGUUUUGUGCGUACACUGCGUACUGUUUGAUAAGUGAGGGACAAACUAGGAUGCACAUUGCCACACUGAAUGUAAGGAAAUGGAGGUACAGGUCUCUCUUCAAUAUUCCUUUUAACACUAUCUUUCCUGUGUACAGCAUGAACUGCCUGAACUCUGUUGCUUUCCAUCUCUCAAGCUCAUUUAGGCCUCGAGGAGUGCGGGAAAAGAUGGAGGGGAUUUCACUUUUUAUGUGAGCAAGCCUACUGCUCACUUCUUCUAUUUGGACAGAAGACAUCCUGAAACCUUUCUCUCCCCUGCUCCACAUGUGCAGAAGUUUUUUCAUGACUCCUAGGCAGGCUUGAUGCAUGUAAUCAACAGGAAAACUUCUCACCAUAUCAAUGGGCAAACUGACCAGUGGUGUAUUUCCGUUGUGAUGCUGUGGCUGAAUUUGGUUCCUAAAAGAGGCAUCUGUGCGUAAGGUGAGGUCAUCUGUCUGCUGAUAUGUGACCCUUUUAAGCCACUCGCCUUUUUGGUCACAUUUAUCACAGCCAUAAUAACCAGAGCACAGCAUUGUGUUGCGAAUAAAGGCUUUCGCUGGAGCAUCACAGACAAUGCAAAGAACGUUGAUUUGCAACGCUCUUCCCUUGUAUUGAAGGCCACCACUUAACAGUUCUUUGAGGUCUGUGACCAUGUCAUCCAGGAAAUCAAGAUUGUGUGGACGAUUUUUUCCACGUUAGUGUUGUGGGGAAAACAGUUAUGGGAUUGAGGUGGACAGCACACAGAACAGGCCACAUAAUUCUUGCUGAGCUCUUGAACAAUGGCAGUCCAUCAACAUUAAAAGACAGGUUGAUUGUGUCCGACAGAUGUUCAGGAGGGUACUUCUCCAGGGUCUCUGUCAACUUCUGAUGCAGUGUAUAAUGAAAGUAUUCUAUGCCAGAUUUCUGCUUUUUUGCUAGCUGCCUUGGUGUCUUAAGUAGACUACGUGCUGAAGAGGGGAGUUCUGUGUGGCCAUGUGUUUGAAGAACCUUCAACAGCUUGUCAAGGGCGUUGUUCUUAACCUGAUUUGCGUCUUCCCAUGUGGAUGAUCCUCCAGCAGGCUGAGGGGGUGGACUAUCUUCAGUGUCCUCCAUAUAACUAGAGGUUAGCUUUUGUCUGAUGCCUUCCCCUCUUCAGGAUUGCUGAGGCAAGCCUAUAGACCUUAGAAGCUACAACACCCUCUUUUUGGGACCAAGAUAUUAUGCUGCUUUGUCUGGAACAGGAAUCCGAAGGAAAACUGGCAUUAACCUUCAAAGGGAAUUUAACAGAUUUCUCUAAUGUUACAGACAUACCAUGAAAUGGUUGUGAGUGGGGUGAGAGAGUGGGGUGAGAGAGUGAGUGGAGCCCUCUUCUGUUUGCUGUUGUUUAUUAAUAAAGAAUAUUGAAUUUU